rnacentral:rRNA from 1 species
UUUCUGAAUAGUGUUGGGGCGGUCUCGGUGCUGCUAGAGACGCCAUCCGGCUUCGCCGUCUUCUGCUUCUGUGGGCUCUUCCUCUACGCACCGUAUGCACUACAGAGGGUGUGGGCAAACUUCGCUACUUGCAGUAGAGCAAGAAACGUUGUUUGGAUGAAGGAAUUCCGAACCUUUGACAACAAGUCCAGCGCCAUUAAUGCUGAUACUGGUGUUAACAAACAGCUUACGGAGAUGAUCAUGAAGUCACCCGGACCUGGGCAGGAGAUACUAGUUGGGAAACCGGAAUAUAAAUCUAUAAUUGAAAAAAGCUUGGGAAUACCCUGUCGGCAUGAUGAACUUGUGAUGGAGGUAAUGUGGGGAUUAAAGCGUCUCAUGCCUAGUUUGGUGCGCAGAGAAAAAACAGAGCUGCCUAAAGAAGAUCUGCUCCCUAUGAGUCAAGGACUACAGAUGUUGUUGAGUCGUUAUGGCUUUGAUGUCAAACCAGAGAUGGUCAAUGAGCAGAUUGUUGCGACCGCAUCCGUCUCGUUUGACUGUGAUGCUUUUGAGGAGAAACGUUCUCCAGGCUUUUGAUGUAUUGGUCGCCACCUGAAGAAAAUUUCCGGCAUCGAAUGUGAGAAUUGGGACCUUCUGAAACUUGCGACAGCUUUUAAGAUCACAUGCAGCCGUGAAAUUGACGAUUCUAAUGAGAUGUUUCCAGAAGACGUGCAAACAAAGUUGCUGGAUGAUGCUGAUAAAUACGAAAAGAAGAUAAAUAAGUUAGUUUGCCUGUUGCACCACAAACAAAUAGAGUCUAACCAUCAGACCAAGACUCGUCACAAAGAUAUGUUGGCUGUCCUGGUAAAGAAAGCGAAAGAAGCGCAUGAGGCUGAACUAGCGGAUGUCCCGUGA